GGCAUCCUUUCCUCCUCAUUCUGCUGGUAGCCGCACCAGCUUAUCAAAUACUUCCAAUCUCCUGGUUGAACACCGAUUUGGGAGAAAAGCAAGACCUAGCAGUCAGAUUCAUUUUUCAGCAAAAAGGCCGCCAAGUAACUUUGAAGUUUGUUUUACACAAGCUCUCACGGAAGCUGUGGUCUAUCAGCUGCAGUCCUGG